AUGAGCCUGGAUUUCCAUCCUGUUCAACAAACUAUUCUUCUAGUUGGAACAAAUGUUGGUGACAUCGGGAUAUGGGAAGUUGGUUCACGCGAAAGGAUAGCACACAAAGCAUUUAAAGUUUGGGAUAUUGGCAGCUGCUCCUUGCUUUUGCAGGCUGCACUAAUGAGAGAUGCUAAAAUAUGUGUCAAUAGGUGUCUGUGGAGCCCUGAGGGAAGUAUUCUAGGUGUGGCAUUUUCAAAGCAUAUUGUCCAGACUUACAUGUUUGUUCCUAAUGGAGAGUUAAGACAGCAAGCAGAGAUUGAUGCUCACCUUGGCAGUGUCAAUGACAUUGCAUUCUCUCGCCCCAACAAGUCCCUAUCAAUUAUUACAUGUGGCGAUGACAAACUCAUUAGGGUAUGGGAUGCUCACUGCGGACAAAGGCUGUACACAUUUCAAGACCAUGAGGAUCCAGUGUACUCUGUUUGCCCUCACUAUAAGGAGAACAUUCAGUUUAUCCUUUCUACUGCCACAAAUGGAAAAAUCAAGGCACGGGUUUACGACUCUUUUAGCCCACUGGUCAACCACUAUGCUCCUGCGCAUUGGCGUACUACCAUGUCUUAUAGUGCUGAUGGUACUAGGCUCUUCUCUUGUGGAACUGGUGAAGACGGUCAUUCCCACUUGGUCGAGUGGAAUGAGACUGAAGGGGCUAUUAAGAGGACAUAUAAUGGCUUGAGAUCACUAGCUGUCCAGUUUGACACAACGAGAAACCAGUUUUUGGCUGCUGGAGAUGAUUUCGUUGUUAAAUUCUGUGAUAUGGAUAACACCAACAUACUGACAACAACAGAUUGUGAGGGUGGACUGCCUGGCAAGCCCGUGCUUGAGAUUCAAUAG
rnacentral:rRNA from 1 species